rnacentral:rRNA from 1 species
GACGAACGCUGGCGGCGUGCUUAACACAUGCAAGUCGAACGGAAAGGCCCUGCUUUUGUGGGGUGCUCGAGUGGCGAACGGGUGGGUAACACGUGAGUAACCUGCCCUUGACUUUGGGUUAACUUCAGGAAACUGGGGCUAAUACCGGAUAGGAGCUCCUGCUGCAUGGUGGGGGGUGGAACGUUUCGGCGGUUGGGGAUGGACUCGCGGCUUAUCAGCUUGGUGGUGGGGUAGUGGCUUACCAAGGCUUUGACGGGUAGCCGGCCUGAGAGGGUGACCGGCCACAUUGGGACUGAGAUACGGCCCAGACUCCUACGGGAGGCAGCAGUGGGGAAUAUUGCACAAUGGGCGGAAGCCUGAUGCAGCAACGCCGCGUGCGGGAUGACGGCCUUCGGGUUGUAAACCGCUUUCGCCUGUGACGAAGCGUGAGUGACGGUAAUGGGUAAAGAAGCACCGGCUAACUACGUG